AAAUAAAUAAAAAAAGUGAAAAUUAAGAAAAAGUAAAGCAAAUAAAAAUAAAUGAAACAAAGAAAGAAAAAUAUUAAGAAAAAAACAUGAGCAGAAUAAGAAACAAACAAGAGAAACGAGAAAAAAAAAACAGAAGCGGUAAUCAAGACAGAGAAUCCAUUUGACAGAUAACAAACAAAAAAAACAGACAGACAAACAAACAAACAAACAAACAAACAAACAAACACCGAGUGAAAUCAUGAAGAAAGUGACCAACCGCGCCCUCUUCCCCCUCCCCCCCUGCUCGAAGUGAAAAGAAAACGGACGAAACAACGGCGGCGGCGGCGGUGGUGGAGGCGGCGGCGACGGGGCAGCGAGGUCGAAGUCACUCUGAAGUCAUUCGAACACAAGCAUGAGCGGGGCGGCAGCAUGAGUGGACGCGUGUGUUCGUGUGUGUGUGCGUGGAGACGGCUUCCGCUCCUCCCCCCUCCCCCCCUCGUCUUCCUCCUCCUCCCCCUCCUCCUCCUCGCGUUCUUCGUCUCCUCAGGCAACUCUCUGAACAACAACAUCGAAGGAGGAGGAGGAAGAGGAGGAGGAGGAGGACAGGGAACCGAACCCCUGACCCACGGCACAACCACUCCGCCGCUGCCACUCAAGGUCGAGGACGAGCUUGACCUCCUCGACCCCGGCAUGGAGGUUGACCCGGCCUCCUGGAGUGACUACCUCAACAAUCUCUUUGACCCCGUGUUCGACCCCAGCGUGCCCUCCAACGUGUCGGUGGUCGAGCGGCAGACGGCCCACCUCGUCUGCCGCGUCAACAACCUGGGC